CCGGCCCGCGGGAGAAUGCCUGCGGAAACGUUCCGGGCAUCUCCGGCGCUGCCAGGGACGGCCGGCCGGGCCUGCGCAAAGCCCGGGGCCGCCUUCUGCUCCCGGCCGCCGCAGCGCUGCGGCACAGUCAGGACAAGUUCCCCCGGAGCCCCUCGCGGGAGCCGGGCCCGGGCCGCCCCGAGGGCAGGGCCUCCGCGGGCCUGCCAGGCCCGGCCCGUGGCACCCCCGCGUCCCCGCAGCGAGCCCGGAGGGAGAGCUCGGAGCCCGAGCAGCCGCCGGGCCCGCCAGGCUCAGGGGCCGCUCUGCCCGAGGGGCGCGGAGGCUUCCUUACACUCCCCCGGGCCCGGGACCCCCGUGUCUGCGAAUUCGCCGUGGCCUCCCUGGGUGCCGGGCCCGGCCCGUACGGAUCCUCCUGGGCCCCGCUACCGGCCUCCCCGCGAGGGUCCCGGCCCCGCUGGCCCUGAGCCCGCCAUGGGAGCGCGCCGUCUCUGCCCCUUCCCUCCCCGGCACCAGCAGGCCCUCUGUCCAGCACAAUCAAUAAACACUUGCUAAAUUAGAGAAGAGGGUCUCCGCCUCGCUUGCCCCUCAGCGCUAGGCUCCGUUCCGAUCCUCUGCCUGUUGUGUUCAGCCAGACUGCACCCAUUCUGCUGGGUAUGAAUACGCUCGGAUUUACAGCCCUGUUUCCAGGCUAAUGGACCUUGAACCCAAAGGAAAAGAUAGAGAAAGUGUCUCUGCAGAAUUCUUCUAAGGAACAGAAAAUACAUAUGGCUGUCUGGUGGACCUAACUAUAAACAUUGCCAUCACAUAAAUGAGAAGAAUUUUACAUGGAUAGAUGCUACUGGAAAUGUCAAUCAAGCCGACCAAUGCAGUGACAAAGAAAGAAAAGGAAAAAAUGCAUCCCCCAGCUACAUGCACAAAGACAAGAACAGUUUCUGCCAUUUUGAAGAUUAAUUUCUACUGAGGAGACUACAACCUGUAAAAGGAAAAUUGAGAUGGAAGGAAAUACCAACAGCUAGUGAGGAGGCUUCAUGAAAUGGGUACCACCUGAGGUGUAAUUUGUAAAAAUCAGCCCUUCUUUUUCCCCAUUGUUUAAUUACUAGCCUCCUAGUUGCCUAGAAGAGUUCAUCUGAUUCCCUAUCCAUUUAACAUUCCCAGAGAGGAGACCUGAGUCCUGGGGAAGAUGGGGCCCAUUAAAUUUGUUAAAACCCACAUGCAGAAAUAUGCACAUGUGCAAAUUUGCAGAUGGUCAAAUGAGUCCUACUCAAGUGUACAGACACAUUUAGAGCUAUCUGGAAUUAUUAGGACUUUUAGCUCUAACUUGAGAUAAGCAGAAUAAACUCUCUACUCAAAUGGGAACUAGUUGUGCUUUUCUAAAUCACCAAGUCAAAGGUCUUGAAGCUAGAUAUUCACAGGUGCUUUCUCAUGGCUUCAUUGUUAGUGUCUGAUGUUUAUGGCAAGUCACAUAAAUAAAAAUGAUGUUUUUAUUUAAAGCUAUAUAUACAUAUAUACUUACACACACAUAUAUAGUUCUUGCCAAAACUGGAGAACCAUUUUGAAACAUUCAAAAUGAAAUGACGUGUCAAAACAAUAAGAAAGUUUAUUAUAAUUAUAAUUAACAUAUAUG